CUACGGGUCGCUCCAGUGAGGAAUAUUGCACAAUGGGGGGAACCCUGAUGCAGCAACGCCGCGUGGAGGAUGACGCAUUUCGGUGUGUAAACUCCUUUUAUAUGUCAAGAAAAUGACGGUAGCAUAUGAAUAAGCACCGGCUAACUCCGUGCCAGCAGCCGCGGUAAUACGGAGGGUGCAAGCGUUACUCGGAAUCACUGGGCGUAAAGGACGCGUAGGCGGGUUGGAAAGUCAGGUGUGAAAUCCUACAGCUUAACUGUAGAACUGCGCUUGGAACUUCUAAUCUAGAGUAUGGGAGGGGGAGAUGGAAUUAGUGGUGUAGGGGUAAAAUCCGUAGAUAUCACUAGGAAUACCUAAAGCGAAGGCGAUCUCCUGGAACAUUACUGACGCUAAGGCGUGAAAGCGUGGGGAGCAAACAGGAUUAGAUACCCCCGUAGUC
rnacentral:rRNA from 1 species